GACGAACCGUGCGAACGUUGUUCGGAAUCACUGGGCUUAAAGGGCGCGUAGGCGGGCAGGCAAGUCUGGGGUGAAAUCUUUCGGCUUAACCGGAAAAGUGCCUUGGAUACUGCUUGUCUAGAGGGAGGUAGGGGCAGAUGGAACUUCCGGUGGAGCGGUGAAAUGCGUUGAUAUCGGAAGGAACGCCGGUGGCGAAAGCGAUCUGCUGGACCUCUUCUGACGCUGAGGCGCGAAAGCUAGGGGAGCAAACGGG
rnacentral:rRNA from 1 species